AAAAAUGAUCAUUUUCCGACUGAGUCUGAUCGGAGCAGUUGACUGGAGCUCAUUCAGUCUAAAAUACAAAAUGACCUAAAUACCCCUAUCUAAUUUGGAAAAUUACACCAAAAAACCUAAACCUACUUCUCAUCAUUCAUUCCACGACAAAGACUCAGAGAGCCAUCCUUCGACAACGUGAGAAGAGAAACGAGAUCCUUCGCACCGAAGCUGGAUCUCUUCGCAGCUGGAUCUCUCCGCCGGAUCUCUCGCCGGAAUCCACUCCUCUUUGAUCUUCUCACUCCACUCCACUCCUCUUUGAUCUCUCCGCCGGCUGUCUUCUUCUCUCUCGUGCGUGGAUUUAGGUGUUACGAUUGAAUUAGCUGCGACCAUUGUUUGAGAGGUGUUACGGAUUGAAAUCGCUGCAACCACUGUUUGAGAGGUAUGAUAUAUCUCUAAUUCAUGAUUUUGUAUUGAGUUUAUGUGUACCAAUGGAGACGAGUGUUGUGGCUUUGUUUGAUUUCGUGUUUCUAAUGCUUAUAGGCUAUUAUCGUUUUUGAUGUUUGAUUUUGUAUUGAGUUGAUCUGUUUCACCAUCUAAAGCUGCCAUUGUUUGAUGUUUGAUCUGUUUCACCAUUUAAAGCUGCCAUUGUGUGUUUAGUUUUGUGGCUUCUUCGUUAGUGUUUAGUCUUUUUAGGUGUGUCAGUGCACCAAACUAGCUUUAGAUGAAACUUACUUUCUUUGGUUUACUGAUUACUGGGAUUUCAAGUAGACAUGAAUCUUGAGCUCUAAGCGGCUAAUGCACCAACUUAACUUUAGAUGAAAUUGCUUGGAUUUUGGCCUAACUCUGUCUCUAUUGUGGUACUAAAGAUCUCUAGUUAGUGCAUGAGCGCAGGCUUCUCUUGAUAUUUGGAUGCGCCUGCAAAAAAAAAACAUAGUUGUUCACUAGAGAUCUCUUAAAAUUUUCAAAAUCUCUAAGAUAAUGAGAACUUGAUCAUCUCCUUAACCACAAGAUUUCAAGUGAGAUUUUAACCACAAGAUCAUCCACUUUGUUCACUAGCUUUUUAAGUGUGUUCUGGAAAUCUGAGAGUUCCUUCCUUUAAUGAAACCCCUGUUAUAUGACUUUUUUGAGUUUGAUUUGUCUGCAACGAAGCAUGUAAAUCCAGGAACAGCUUUGCUU